rnacentral:misc_RNA from 1 species
UUAUUUAAAAGAAAGAUCUAAUUAUAAAGAUAGGGGAAUUAUUACUUUUUCGUCAUUUAUUUUUAAUAUAGUAUAAUAACUCGUUAAUGAGAGUUAAAUGAAGUUUCACUUUCGAAAUCUAUCAUUAAGAAAAUUAUUAUCUGGUCCAAUAAUUCGUUGUUUACCUUUUAAUUCUAUGUAUUAACACACCUUUCAGUAUUUUCCAAUCAAACAUCGUAGACCAUACAUAAUUAUACGUCUUUAAUAUUAUCCAUCUUCUGCAAUACUGAGUAAUAUACCUGGCCUAUUUAAAGUGGUAAAACUUUCAAUGUUGCACAAUUCCUAAUAUUUUAUUGCUUUCUGAUCGUAAACGAUCAUCUGACCAGGAUGUGUUACCACUGUUAAACAGCGUUACCUCCAGCAUCUUUCAGAAAUCAAAUUAUUGUUGUUUUCACUGUCGUUCUUUUGUAAAAAAGUUACGUAAAUUCGUACGACCAAACCGACCGUGGUGUAUUCAGAUAAUAUCAUUCGUUACGAUACAAAUUAUUUAAAUUUUUCUAGAAAAAUUGUCUGAAUUUUGUAGAACACACGUAAAAAUUUUAUUCAAUUUUUGUAAUAAAAGAUCUAUGAAUCUUAUACAUUGUUUAAAACAAUUAGAGGAUCGUUUUUCAUUUAACUUUCAUUUCUAUAAUUACACAGUUUUACACAGUUUUUAUUACAAUAUUAUAUGAAUAACAUGUCAAUUUAUCAAGUUUAUAGCCCUCCUUUAUUUCUAUUUGCUUGGUUGAUGCAAUAAAACCAUUCAUAGCAGCGGUCCCCUAAUUGUUUUGAGCAGUGUAUAAUAAUCAUUCUCUAAAUUAUUCUGUAUUCUAUAGUCACAGCAACCAUAUUAAUAAAUCUUCUUAAAAUCUUACUCAAAAAAUAUUAGUUAUGAAUUCAAAAUAUUGUUAGAAAUUGUUAAAUUCCUAUUUUGAAUUUACUAAAUUUAUUAAAUUCUUAUUAAAACUUUCCAAAAGUUAAAUAUUAUUAUCCUAAUAGAAUAAAAUGAAUUUUAUACAAUAU